CGGGACGGGUGAGUAACGCGUGGGUAACCUGCCUUAUACUGGGGGAUAACAGCCAGAAAUGACCGCUAAUACCGCAUAAGCGCACAGAACCGCAUGGUUCGGCGUGAAAAACUCCGGUGGUAUAAGAUGGACCCGCGUUGGAUUAGCUAGUUGGCAGGGCAGCGGCCUACCAAGGCGACGAUCCAUAGCCGGCCUGAGAGGGUGAACGGCCACAUUGGGACUGAGACACGGCCCAG
rnacentral:rRNA from 1 species